GGAGCAGUAGCUUAACUGGUAGAGUCCUUGCUUGUCACGUAAGAAGGUACCGAUUCGAAUUCGGUCUGCUCCG